GCCUUCUUGGCUCAGUUGGCUAGAGCGCAGGUCUCAUAGUCUAUGCUAUGCGUGGUCGGAUGAUCCACACAAUCCUGAGGUCGCAAGUUCGAGCCUUGCAGAGGGCA